rnacentral:tRNA from 1 species
GGGGCUGGGGCUCAGUGGUAGAGUGCUUGCCUGGCAUGUGAGAGGUACUGGGUUCGAUCCCCAGUAC